AAGGAAGAGCUUUUCUGUAGAGGCUGCAAUGGAAAGUCAAUCCAGUGAUCCAGGUUAGAAGCAUGGGCUGAGGUUAAUUGGAAUCUGAUACUGAAUUCCUUGAUUUUGUUACCAUAACGACUGUGCAAAAGCCCAUUUACUUUGUUAACAAACUUUGUAGCUACAUCAUUCCACAAAAGAGGAUUUUCAUGGUUACGUGACUUUUCUAACUCUUGCAUCCCAAAAGCGUAGGAAUCAAGGAUGAGAUGGUCAAUUUUUUUCCAGACAUGCCUCCAUCUGGUGGAAAGGAAACCAGUCAUUGCUGCCUCACUUAUUGUCAUUAGGGAAAGAAUUUCAAUUAAAAUAUCAUCUGGCAUUGUGCUGAUCCAAUCACAAUUCUGCGGAACAAACGAUAUGAUAGGAUAAAAUUAGAAAGGUUUGUCUGCAUAUGGACAUUUUACGAUUUAUUUUACACAUAAAGCAGUAAACCCCUUCCCAAUUUGCAGAAUUAAGUAUAUCUCUAAGUAGUAUAGCAAGUAGACACAACAAAUCAAGCAUCAUUGUUCUCUUAUAAUGAAUCACAAAAUAUUUGUACUAUGUAUUUAUAUUCUCUAGACCACAUGAAGUUCUGCACUUAUUCUACCAAUUUAUAACUGGCAACUAAUACGACAACUAAAAGCAGGGCAUGAUUUGGAUUUUUGGCACUAACCAACAUUUUUAUUAUUUUAUUGUUCAAAAGGUAAUAGUACUUGAUAUUUGUUCUUAUGUAAAAACAUGAAUAUAUGUUAAAUCAAUAUGCUUGAGCCAAAAUAUCUCUAUAUUGCUUAAAUUCUUUGCGCAUUAAACUUCUUUAUAUGUAUUGAGAUUCAACUUAGAAGCAAACCAAAUUGUUUAAUUGGCAAUACCCUGUUGACCAUUGCAUUUAAACAAACAAAAUUACAUACAUAAAUAAUUUUUCGAACGCAUAGAGGAAAUCAACUCAGCAAUUUCUAAAACAUAUAUGCAUGAGUUUACUUUUGAAGUGGUAUAUGAAAAAAAUAACGAAAGGCAACAAUAUAAGAUGUUAAUAAAAUACACACCUGGACAUGCUGCCCUUCAUCAUGCCUACACAACGCAUUAUUUGGUGGCAAACAAUCAUCUAGAGAAAAGAAAAAUAAUGAUUAGAGUGUCAUGUCCUCUUCAAUCUUAUAAGAUUAGAAAACCAAAUGAUUUUGGAUCAAGGAAUGUUUGAUAGCAGAUAAAAAGUAAGAAUUCUACCAAGAAGAUUGAGUGGAUGGAAAUUUCUCCUCUAAAAUAGAGUAAAAAUGAAAACUUUAUAACUAUGAAAAGUUGGGAUGCAUCAUUCUAAACAAAAAGUGUCACCCCAUUCUGCUAAUUUUCAGAAUGUCAUCAAUCUGCCACCAAAUUAUAAUACCACCUCUAGCAAGUAUCAAAUUGGUGAUAAUUUCCUUUGAUAGUCAGAUCUAUUCCUUCAAACAAAACACAAGAGAUUGGUAUAAAAUUAUCCACAUGGACCGUGUCUAGAAAUGACCAUCUAUAACCUGCUUUGACGGAAGCCGGAAGAAUUCCAAGAUCUCUUCCUCUCUGCCCAGACAAAACCCUAAACCUUCCCCUACCAUUCUCCGCUGGAUCGGUGGACCUCCCCUAGUGGUCGAAGUGGCAACGUUGGAGGCAUCAAUGCAAUAAAAAGGAAAGGUGGUAAAUAUAUUCACCUUCGGUGUUCCACGGUUGCGGCGCCGGCGGCGGCAUGAGGGAGUCCAUGCCCUAGGAGAGGGGAUUAGACAAGGAGAUGGGAUUUAGGGUUCUAUGGGGCCAUGCUAAGUAGUGUGGCUUCGACUGUUCUACUGGGCCAACUCGAUCGUUUUCUUAUUGGGCCUGACCCACAGAUUCGCCGCCCAUGAGCCACCUAUGCACAACCACUCAACCGCGAGAGCUCCUAUUUGCUGCCCACAGGCGGCAAAUUGUUGAGCCUUCACUUAUGGCAGCGACAAAUAGGCCGGCCCAUUUGGAGCUACCGAACUCCACGCGCGCAAAAAUAUAAGAAAAAGUGUUGUGCAAGUGACACGAACACGCAAACUCCUGUCGUGAGCUAGCGUAACUAACCAACCGAACUAGUGAGUUCACCUGAUAGAUUCACGGAGCGAAACUUGAGGUAUCAAACUUCUUCUGAAAAAUUCAAAAAAUACACACUGAACAUUUCGUAAUAUCCGUUGAACAUUUUAUAUUAUACACGAUGAACUCUUUUUGUAUUAUACUAUGAAGUUUUUAUACAUAUGAUGAACAUUUUUGAAAAAAUAUGAAAUAUGUGUUAAAAAAUGUCCAAAUACGCAUUGAACAUUUUGUAUUAUACGUUGAAAAAAUUUCGAAUACACAUUGAACAUUUGUGCAAUAUACACGGAACAAAUUUCAAAAACAUAGUGAAUGUUUUUAUAUUCAUUGAAAAAUUUCUAAUAUACAGUGAAUAUUUUUAUAAUGCACGAUGAAACUUUUGUAAUAUACCAUGUACAUUUUCUUAAUAUACAAUGAGCAUUUUGGUAACACGCAAUGAAAUUUGUAUAAUAUAGGAAGAAAGAAACAGAAAAAAGAAAAAAAAGAAUAGAAAUAUAAACAGAAACAGAAAAGAAAAAUAAAAAUAAAAAUAAAAAACCAGAAAAGAAAAACUGAAAGAAAAAAUAACCAAAUGACAAACGAAAAAAUGAACAGCAGCGCCUGAGAACUGGGUUGGCCCAGCCGCGUGCGUUGCGGACGUUUCCACGACCAUUUGCCGUCAGCGGGCGAUAAAUAGGAAUUGCCUGCAACAACCCCAAAUCCGAAAUCACUAACUGAGUACUCUUUGCAAAGGUUACUUUCACAUUCUUAGGUUCCGACAGGUGGCGCAUUGUAGGUGUGCCACUUGACGCAACCUGUGAGUUUUUUCUUUUUCGUAGAUUCAUUUAUUCAAAACAUUUUAUCUCUUAAACGGUGCGUCCAAAUCUCGAACCGUUUUCAUUGUUGCAUUUCUCGCGUUGAGAUCUUCAAAAUUAGAUCCUAUGUUGAUUGGUUUCAACGAACUUUUUUUCACAGAAAAAAGGACAAAAAAACCAAACCGGAAGCAUUUUUUUCCUUUCCGAAGGGGCACGGGUGUUUUUUUUCUUUUCCGAGAGGCACGACUAUGCCUCUUGCGGGUGAAAAAAUGCAUUCUUCUUUCUUUUUCGAGAGGCACGACUCACGGAAGCCAAUCCAUGCAUCCGCGAAAAGUAAAUUCGUGCCUCUCGCGGAACGAAAAAGGGUGUUUCUUUUGUUCCUUUUUCGAGAGGCACGACCGUGCCUCUCGCAGAAGCAAAUUCAUGCCUCCACGAGAAGCUAAUCCAUGUCUCUCGUGAAACGAAAAAAUCAUGACUUUUGCUUUUUCGGGAGGCAUGACUAUGACUCUUGUGGAAGCAAAUUCGUGCCUCCGUGAGAAGUAAAUCUGUGCCUCUCGCGGAACAAAAAAGACGAGGUUUUUCUUUUUUUUUAGAGGCAUGGUUGUGCCUCUCGCGGAAACAAAUCCUGCCUCCACGAGAAAUAAAUUGGUGCACCUCGUGGAACGAAAAAACGCGUUUUUUUCUUUUGAGAGGCACGACUGUGCUUCUUGCGAAAACAAAUAUGUGCCUUCACUAGAAGUAAAUCUGUGUCUCUUGCAGAAGGAUAAAAGAAUGUAUUUUCCACGUGUUCCAAUAUCUAUGAAAAAUCCGGGAAAACCAAAGCCCAACCCCCACCCCCAAAAAAGCCAUCUAAAGCCGAAAAUGCAUACAGAAAAUAAAAAUAAAUACUGAGGGAACACCCAGAGCGCGACACGACGUGGCGGCUGAGAGCUCAUCGUACCAAUCCUUGUGGGGGCUUUUGAAGGAGUAACUGCCGAUUAGUUGCUCUCCCCCAAAUCCUAUUGCAUUUAGACGUAGGCCUGCAAACUGGCGCACACACCCCUUCCACCUUGGUUUGAUCCAUUUAGCUUUCUCUCUUGUUCGCAAUGUAUCCGGCGCUCCAGGUUCCUGAUUGACUGGGCCUCGGCUGAGAAGCAACCCUGUUUUUGCGUCUUCAGGAUGGCGGCAACUCUGAGGAGCCUCGGGACCAAGACGAGGACUUGCAGGAGGGCCAUGAGGGUCGUACGAGGAGUAGGUGGAGAAGGAGUCGGCUAACACCGCAGCCAUGAAAGAGAGAGGCGCAGAUCCCUACGAUCUCAAGCAGCAGUUGAGACUUGAGAAAUCUCUCAACUUACAAGGAUUGUUUCUUUCUUGGUGGUUAUCUCGCCUUCUUAGUAAUUCUAAAUGCUUUGCGUGGUUUUCUUCAUCUAUUGUGACGUACAUUUGACUCGGUGGUGGUUGAUUGAAUUUCUGUCCCAUGUGAUAGACAGAUGUAAGACAAUCUACAUUGUUCAGCCAGCAAAGAAAAUCUUCCAACCACAACUGGUUUGCAUUUCUUGUAUGUAUGUAUGUAUGUAUGUAUGCUAUUUGGCAGACAGCCUAUCUAAAUCUUACAAAUAAAGCAUCUUGAAGCCGUGAUGGGCAUAGCAUACGACGAACCGUAAAUCAAAUGAACAUGUGGUAUAUGCACUCUGCACAUCCCUUUUCACUAGUAUAUAUACGUCCAUUAACUAUCACAUGUUUCGGGUUUAACGUGUAGUUACAACUUACAACCACAGUCCACAGGCUUCUGAGAUAUGACAAUUCACAUAUGUUUGGAGAGCUCUGAUAUGCAUUUUAACUUUUUUAUAAUUGAGACUGCAAAAGACCAUUGCUGUCAAUGUCUAAGAACUUUCAUGUCAGUGCCUUUUAGAUGAGGAAGUGACAAUUCUGUUUGUACUCAUGCAAAUCUCUGAAGAUGUGAACUGCACUGCAUAUUAAUGCCGUUUACUUCUUCAGGAGAAUGUCUUGGCUGAGUCAAGGAUGAUGAUCCCAGACUGCCAUAAGCGUCUUGAAGCCACACUGGCAGAACUGGAAGCAACUCUGGUACCGUUUCUGAAACAUUUGAGCUAACUUUGACAUUAUAUACGUGUGAUCUUGUCAUGAGCUGUUCCAAGCUAUUUGCAGGCUGAAUUGAAGGAGUCAGAAGAGCAAGGUGUCGAGAUAGGAGAGGCGGAGACCGUGAUCACAGAAGUUGAAACUGUAUCCGAGCAAUUCGAAGAUAAACUCACUAGUCAAGAGCGCCGGUGUGUUGAAGUUUUAGCAAGCAUCUUGAUAAAAUACUUGCCCUGACUUGUAAAAUACUGAUUGCAUGAGAUGUUUUAAACCGUUGUUGGUACCUUGGAAACUCAUUCCAUGAGAUGCUUUCAUGUCAGUUGGUAUAUCUAUUUUAUUUGGUGUUUGGUUGCAAUCUCAUUAUUACGCAGCUGAGAGCGGUUGACUCAGAAAUUUGUCCCCGAUGAAUCAGAUGGAGUUGUAACAUGAUAUUUCAGUGGAUACAGUGACAUGCCAAUUCAGAUUCUGUAAAAUAUUCAGCUUGUUUGGACUAUCUGGACCAGGGGAAGGUCUCACGAAAAAUGGCAUAAGCCGCAACAGGCGCAGGCCUGAGCUGCCAAAUUCGAGAUUUUACCUGUGCAGAUCAAUUAGUUUAAUUAGCUAUAUUGAACUUCGCAGUGCCGGAGCAGAGAUGCAGUGUUACUAUCUAGUCAAGGAGAGGAGGAUAUUUGUAAGAAAGAAAAAGGAGAGGAGGAGCUCAGUAAUUCACACCAUGACAUUCUCGGCCUAUCAACUGUGAUGCGCGCUUUAUCUGUAAUCCUCAUGGGUCAUGGCAUACGUUUCACAUACUCAAUCGUUUUUCGCCGACCGACAACGCUCGGAGACAAUUACCAUUUUUCUACGACUGACGAGGUUGGGAACUAAUCACGCAUCCUGAUCAACAAAACUGUCCAUCUAUUUUCUCUGACCAACAUUCUCCUCGAGGUUGGAUAUUCCACAUCUGCUGAACAUUUCAAGUUUGAAGACGAUGCCUAUCAACCAUAGUUUUAAAUAGCCGGCUAUAGCUAGCUAUAGCCUUUUCAGCGGGGUGCCGCUAAAUGGUCGCCUUCACAAAUAGGCCGUUAUAGCCCGCUUUAGCCCGAUAUAGCUGAUUUGGAGGCCCGCUGCUAUUUUUCAUAGCCUGCUAUUUAAAACAUUGCUAUCAACACAGCUUAAUUGGAGGUGUUAUGCGGGGUUAAAAACCCGAAACUACAACAUAAUCGAUUCAAAUCAGGUGUUUAAAGAAUAGUACAGUAUAUUGUUAUCAUUUGGGAAAUUAUACUUUGUAAUUCUCUACAAAAUUAAUAAGUAAACUGUUUUCCUAUCUUUAAUUGCCUUUUUAUGAUUGUAUAGGUAUGUAUGUUGGCAGACUUCAUACUUAUUUACAGCAUUAGAAAACUCCUCCACUUAGAGCGUUUCCUCGGAUGCCGCCCUUCCUCACCUGCUUGAAUGGAAUGAAUAUGUCCUUUGUCUUGUCGAGGAGGGAAAACGCCCAAUGUGUGGUACAGGACCGUGACCCUUCUAAACCAUUACAUGACAGAGAAGUCCAUUUGUGUCAUGAUCGAUCCACGCUUUACCAUAGUGCCCGGAGAAGCAGACCUACUUCUAGAAGAUUAAAUAGUGAUCCACUGGAAUCGGCCUUGGGUGACACCUCCCUAGUCAUCGAGGCACAUUACUAUAUUAUAUAAAUUCUCAAGUAUACACUAGGCUUACCACGUCUAUAACACAAGCUUAAUUCAAUAGUUGUACCAUCAUCCCUAGCUCGUCUCCCCUCUAAGUCUAGGAACAUGUUUUUAGACAGUUGCUCUUCCUUACCCUCCCACCCUAAAAUCCAGAAUCCUAACUCGUCGACAGUAGUAAGCUAUUUGUACUGGGGAGGAAGUGAAUAAUCUAAAAACGAGAAUGAGACUCAAAUCUAAUAUACUAAGUUGUUCGUAUUACAUCAAGCAUUUGAGAGGGACAACAAUCAGACCAGAGGUGAUCUAUAUAUCGUAAACAUAUAUUUCUUGCAAUGCAACAUAGAUCCUUAUAUUUCUUAUUCUCAUAGUAAAUUGAGCAUUCCAUCUUAAUUUAGAACGCGAUCAACCUACAGAUGUCCGGAAGAACCAUCUUGGCAGGGUCUAUAUAUCUUGCUAAAGCGUUCCAUCAUCCAUGCCAACAAAAGUGGGGUCUUGGCGGCGUCAUGGAACUCCCUACCAUAGAGCUCCUUGGUUGGUUGCAUCCAUGCUGACCAUACCACCCAACAUGACAUCAACAUACCUGACAUUGUCUCCGCCAAAGAAAGGCUUACCUCUGCAGCAUUCCGUCAGUGACCGUUCUUGUGUAUGUCCUCCGAUGUGAAAGUCUGCUCCCUUCCUUCGUCUUUCUUCAUGUCUGCCUUCCUCGCGAAUAUCUUCCACCAUGGUGCAACUAGCUGCAAGGUCGCAUACAUAUACAUACUUUUUUUUUUCUAUAACACAAAACUUUGAGCUCUGAUUUUGUUUGUUUUUAUGGUGAGGGAUCCUCGAAUGUUAUUUGCGGAUGAAAUUUUGCAAAAAGCUAAAACUUUUGUUCAUGUUUGAUGUCCCAAAAUUUCAGUUUUUUAUUUUGUUUUAAAUCUUUUGUGAAUUUACUGUUCAUGAAGGGUGUAGGUACACCCGGGAGUAGAAAAUCCACUCCAAGAUGGUGAGCGCUAGGAGAUGAUGGCGCAUACAAAAAUAUUCGAGAGGGAAAAACCGUGCACGUGGCGGGGUUAUCCGGUGCAUUGGAUAUUCAAAAAUCAAAUUAACAAUAUUAAAAAAAACUGAAAAUAAUUUAGCAUCUACACAUGAUAUAUUUCGACCAUGCCACAAAAACAAAAAGUAAAUUUGAACCACAGCUUGAGAAACAAAAAGAACAUAAUUAACACUAAUUGUGUUAAUAGAUAAAAUUUAUGGCCCAGUAUAAAAUGAGUCAUAUUCACACAAAAAUGGACUUUUUUGUUUCUAGAGUUGUACUGAAAUUUUGUGACAUGUUUUGCGUGUGUGUAAACUUAUCUUCACAUUUUGAACACAUGUGGAGUGUGCUCCGGUAAGCUGUAGCACCAAACAUCAUGUCAGACGCUAGAAUUAGAGAAGCCUUUUUUUUACGAGACCCUCAACACAAUAUUGCUCGUAGCAUGGUUAAUAAAACGGAAAAACUAACGCCCACACGUGUGGGCGUUUGCACAUCACUCACCCGCCUCCAUCACUACUCAUUUUGCCACGUAUGAACAUAUGACAUCAGCAGAAAUCUUUUUGGUUUUCGGUUUAAAUUUUUUUUAUCUCCUAAUUAAAAAAGCGAAUUAAAAAUCCGUUUUCACCAUCAAAUCCGUCUCGACGAGAUCUUCAAAACCAGACCCCAUGUUGAUAUGUUUCGAUGAAAUAUUUUUUGCCCAAAAGUUGCCAUGAUGUCUACACUGUAGUUGUCAUAGUGCUUAAACUAAAGUUGCCAUGUGGCAAUUUUAGUUUGUAGAUCAUGACAAUUUUAUUUUUUAGACGAUGGCAAUUCCAGUACUUUGACCAUGAAAAUAUUUUUUGUAUGAACCAUGGCCAUUUUAAGUGCAUGUAUCAUGGUAAUUUUAAUUUAUGGUGCAUGGCAAGUCUAGUUUUUUAAUUUCCUGUUUUAUACUAUGUCAAAAUUUACUUUUAAAUGUAGAAGAAAAUAGCUGAAACAUAUCAUGGCAACUUCAGUGUAAACAUUAUGGCAUUCAUGUGCAAUAGACACGGCAACUUUUAACCAAAAAAAAUUCAUCAAAAUAUAUUGGUAUGAGAUUUAGUUUCGAAGACUCAUCGCGAGGGAUGGUGAAAACCGAUCUUCAAUCGGAUUUUUCAUUUAAGAGAUAAAACAUUUUUAAAACAGAAUUCAAAAAAGAUUUCCACAUACAUACAUGCGGUGACAUGGCAUAGUCUAUGCGCUAUAAGGCGUGUGGACGGGUUUGGCUCCCACCACACAUGUGAGCGUUAGCGUUGUCCUAAUAAAAUGCUGUAAAAAAUAGUCAGCCGUGCGUUGGUUGGGGCUAGAACCCCCGUAUUGAGCCCUCGUCUCAUGCAUUCUGACCACUACAAUACGAAGUGCUUUUGGUUUAUGGCAGAUCACAGAAUGUAUAUAUUCUAAGCAUGAAUGAAAGUUGAGCUUUGGGACUGCAUUAAACACGGAUAGUUAGGUGUGUGUGUACGUUAUUCUCCUAACAUCGAUCCAGGGCCGUCUUCAGAAAUUCAGGGCCCCAGUGCGAAAUAUAAAAUGGGGCCCAAAAAUUUGCAUCAUUCGUCUAUUAUUUCUUGAAACAAUUUUUCUUAAUCGACUAAAUAAGCUCAUAAAAGAAAAUUUUCAUUGAGUCAUUCUUGGAAUGAAGUAUGCUAGUAGUGUAGCAGGAGAGUACACAAAGAAGAAUUAGUACUAGAAUAAGAAAUUAGAUUACAGAUAGUGUGUUAAUCCUAUUAGUUUUGAUUAAGAUAAAGCCUACUCUCGAGUAGCAUUGUUGUACUUAGUAGAGAUUGCAUUCGAUACAGCGCUAGGAUAACAUCAAAAGAACCAACGAUGUUUCAAAAAAGAAAUAACCUUAAGGCAUUGUCCGGUUCCUUGAGGUUUUUUUUCGAAACAGAGGCAAAAGAUUUGCCUCAUCGAUUAAUUAAGAAGAAGAGAAUUGCCCAGUUAAUUAACGGAAACCGGGCGAAAACAGAUACAUAUAGACCACAUGCGGACUACUCGCUAAGAAGCAAACUCCAUAACCCCACGAUCAACCCGAUAAAUACACAUAACAUGUAACAACCAUGAACCCUCACACUUCUAUGCCUCAAAGAAAUCUCCAACAAAACCAAUGUUGCAUACAUCGAACGCCACCAAAUCCACGGAGAUGGAGGACAAUGGAACUGAGUAUCCUCCAUUAAGCAGCCGCUGACGCCUUACCAAUGACACCACUCUUCUUGCCUAUGGUCCUGAGAGCCUUCUUCACCUUCUUUAUUUUGCCCGUAGAAACCUCCUCCGCUAGGAGGCAAGCAAUCGCCUUGCCAGACCCAGGAGAAGCUACCUCCAAGGAGGCGAGCAAGCGGCCAAGCUUUUUCAGAAAGACUACCUCGUCAAUACGUGCCAACAUAGCAUCACGGUCAAAGAUGGGCGACCGGAUGGGCUUCGUCACCUCAGAAUUAGGUGUCAAAGCACCUACCUCAUCACCCGCAGACGCCACCUGGCCAACAACCUCAGGUGAGAGAGCAAUAGUAGCAUCCAAACCUCCACAGUCCACAAAGUCGAGAGUCUGAAUGGGCUCCAACGACGGCGGAGAGGUCGCAAUUGACAUCACCAAGUUCUCUCCAAGCGGCCCCAUCUCUUUAGGAAGCACCAUCGAAAUAGGCGAAGUAGGCUCCCCACAAACCUUCUGGAGCUCAGGCAUAAUCUGCAGCACCGGAGCCACGACCUCGACAACAACUUCACUCCCAGAAGCAAUCGGCACGGCAGGCAACGGCAACCGACAGGAUGUAGCACGAGGGGAGAGAUCUCCAUACAUGCAUGCUUCCCCAUCGACAGAACCAACCUGAAUCUCGGGCAGCAAGGACACAUCGGGCACAACCCCAAUCUGAAGCUCAGGCAGCGAAGACACAUCCGGCACGACCUCUAGUUUGGGGAGAGCGGCCUCCGCCCUCCCCAAAACACUCCCGGCUCGCACUAGGCAGUCACGAAGCUCAAUGCGAAGCAACUCGGUCUCCUCCACCAACCCAACUUGCUCAGUCGAGAUAGGUUGGAACUGCACAUCUGUCAUGGAGACAUCAUCGGUGGAUGCAGGUGGUGGAGCAGGACAUUGGAGCGGCGAAGCAUGGACAGGCUUCUCAGCACGGAAGAAGCGGGCGAUGUGGCCGGAUCGAAGACAAUCCGUGCAUCGAAUUGGAUCCCUACAAGAAUAUGCCGGUGACCUCGACAGAGGCACCGAAAACACCUGUCUCUCAACCACGCCGGAGGAGGACGCCGCACAUUGACAACAAGGCGACGAAAAGCAGCAGGAGCCGAGCGGCGCCCUCUCGAGACGAGCUGCCAACCUCCCAAAGCAUUCCCGCAUGGAGCCAUAGGAACUGUUGAUGCCGCCACUCGGUCGAAACAUCCUCGCCAAUUUCCCCAGCCCAGACGCACUGGAGGCGCCUGCACGACGAGCCCUUCGCCUGCAACAGUGGCGAGUGGAGCUGAAGCAGUAGGCACUGCGUCCAGAGAAGCCGCCACUCCCCCCUCGCCAUGGAUGACGGAGCAACGGGAGACAUCCGUUGAGCCGAGCACAGCCGGAACCGGUCGAGAGACGGGAUCCAGAUCCCCCUGAUCUGGAUCGAGCGGUGGGGGACAUAUGGGGCUUGUCGCCGGUGGCUUCAGCAGGUGGUCGAAGGCGGCACCGGCAGAGCAGGCGGGGGUGACGGACGGCUAAGCUAGAGAGCUCGCCGCUGCGGCCGGAGCGGAAGCCGCUGCAGCCUUCGGGGAGCGCGGGCGGGAGCCCUGCUGGCCGCUGUUCUCCAACCGGUGCCGACAGGCCGGAGGCAGUGGCCGCGGGCGCGGGGUCGGAGGCGCUGGCAGUGUGGCCGUCGCCGGUGGGGGCAGGUGGAGGGGCGCGGUGGCCGCGACAAGGUGGACGGGGGCGGCGGGCGGCGGAGGUUGGUUGCUCGGCGCAGAGACGAGGCGUCCCUGCACGGCCGGGCCAGCCUUGCGUCCGGCGAGGAAGGCCGCGGCGAGCGCGGCGGCCAGAGCAGGGGCGGUGAGCGACGGGGCCGAAGCGGCCGACGAUGACGGAGCAGCCGUCGCGGAUAUGGAGCCGUCGCGGACGCGGCUUCUCGCAGCUUCCACACGGGCUGCUCGGGCACGACGAGCAGCGAAGUUGGGACGGGCGGCGAGCGGACGGGGCGGAGCUUCCAGAUCCGGGGCCGCCGGAGGCAGGGGAGGCCGGAGGAAGGAAAUCAGCCCGGCAGCGGCGCCGCGCGGUCGCCCGUCGCGGGCGUGCUCAUGUCGCGGACUGUUCCUAUGUUCCUUGAGAUUUGAUGGGGAUUGAGAGGGAUUAAACCCCCUACAUGUCAAAAUCCAUCUCAAUCCUCCUCAAUCCUCCCCAAUCCCCUUGUGACCGAACAAACCCUAAUUAGUUUUCCGUUCAUUAAUUUUGAUUCUGGGCAUAUGGUAACGGCUUACCUUGGAAAAUAUUGGGGGAUGGCGAGAUGAGGCUGCUGCGAUAGAGAAACAAGCGGCGACGGCAAGACACACAGCAGACUCGCGGUGAGCGACCGCCAUCUUUCGGCCGCUCGUCCCCUCGUCGAAGCAGGUAGGCGACGCCUCGUGAAGUCCUGGACACACGCACGCUCGGAUGUAGAGAGUAGGCCCAUUAACAUAACUAGUCUGCCUUGAUUUUCUAUUUGGACCUUCUAUCUACAAAUAGGGCGACAAUUGUGGGCCUGUUGGCUUUAACCAGAGCUUCACGCACAUCCGGCUGCAUUUUAGGAUCGAGCGAGCCAGCCAAAAAGCCAGCCAACCAGCAAAUUAAACGGAACGCUUCGUGAUUUUUUUCUCCAAUCGGGGCCCCUUCGAUUUUGGGGGCCCUGUGCGAUCGCACUCCUCGCACAGCCUCCUCGACGGGCCUGCAUCGAUCAUGUGCGACUAAUAUGUUGAUGGAAAUUCAAAACUAUGCAAAUACCAAUAUUGAUACUCGUUUCUAUAAACGUUGAUCUACGCUUGUCUUCAUCGUUGACCGUUACAAUUCUGGUGCGCUGAUUUUGUGGGCCUUAGCACGAUGACUUUUCGACUGUCUACUACAACAAGGUUUUCCGACUCACGUAAGGGAGGGGUGAUGAUGGCAGUGCGCCUUCGGCUCCCUCCAGUGCUUGUAAUCGUCGCUAGGUGGUUCACGGGCCUGGAUGAAAUUUUUGUUACUUCUGGAUUCUUUGUACCGCCAUGACUAUUGAUGAAUAGGUCAGAAGUUUUCCCCGCAAAAAAAUCUUGGUUGAGCAUGUACGAGCAAAAGAUCAUGCGUCUGUGUGCUUAGAUAUAGAGAGAGACUAAGGCAAAGAUAAAAGAGUCUAUGUGUGUGCGCGCACGCACAUGUGUGUGUGUGUUUGUGUGUGUGUGGAGGGGGAGGAUCUAGCGAAGUUUGUGUUGUAUGAUAGAGGGAGGGAUAUACCUAGAAAGUGAGUGUGUGAGAUAGGCAUGCGGAGAGGGAGAGAGGUGUGUUUUACAGAGAGACAGAGAAAUUUGUGUGCAUGUGAGUGAGAAAGACCUAUGAAUGAAGAGAACUACAGGGGGAUGUCCUAAAAGAGAGUGAUACAGAGAGGGAUCCAGAAAGAUGGGGAGGUGUGUCCGUGUGUGUGUAUGAGAGUGUCGGUGUACAAAAGAAGGGGCGCACCUUUGUACCCUUUACCUGUGCACGAGUAGUCGGAGCCGCGCCCACGGCCGCACCAAGCAGAACAGAGGAGGUGAACCGAGUUAAAACCGAAGCCCAAAACAGCCAGAGCAACGCCAAGGCCGAGACCACAAAAGAGCAGUGAGACGAAGCAGGUUCCCCCGACAAGACCCUUGCCAGGGCAGCCUCCGCGGCCCCGGCAAGGCCCUUGUCGGGGCGGCUCGUCCAACACCAGCGGAGCGCACCACCCUUGAGCCCACGGUCUCCAACACCAUCAACCACGUUGGGCCAGGGCUCGGGAGGCACCUCCAUGGUGGCAUGCAGAUCUUUGUGAAGACAAGGAAUAUUCAAGAUCAGAUGAGGAUUAAAAGACAACGAUUCUCGGCAAGAUCCAUGCCGAGGGGAGCCACAAGACUCCCGGCAAGAUUCUUGCCGGGGACAACAGCACGCCACGGCGAGGCCCUUGCAGGGCCACCCGGCAAGGCCCUCACCAAGGACGUCGGCAGGGCCACCGCCAGGCCCACGCCAACCAAGCUUCCACCGUCGUUCACAUGCAGCUGCCAGCCCAACCAGCUGGGCGGGCACCUGCGUGGCAACAUGCAGCUCCCAGGCCAACUCAUCGAGCGCCUGCGUGGCGGCAUGCAGAUUUUCGUGAAGGCUCCGCCACCGCGCCACCUCAGCUGCCUACCUGCCUACGUGGCGCCGCAUGCGUCGCUGACCAGGGCGCGUGUCGAAGCAAGGAGGAGCGGCAACGGACGGGACGGGCCUCGUUCCCGUCCCCAAUAAAGCACGGGGACACCUAAGCGAUGCAUUAAAUGUGUCUUGUCCUGUAAUACGAGCGAUAAGCUCGUAGCACUGUACGCCUUUCCAACUCCUGUGCGCCACUGUGGCAGCCCUUUUCGACUAUCAAAGGAGGCCCAUGGCGUACUGGAGAAGGAUUCGGCUCUUUCGAAUGACCCAGCCACCGAAGCUAGUUGGAAGGCUCAAGAACACUCAAUACAUCCACCAAAGCAGGACUAGGGUUUUACGCAUCCUCACGGCCCGAACCUGGAUAAACGAUCCUUGUGCUGAUUACUAAUCCUGCUCUUCUUGCAACCCUGCACCCCGGCAACCGUAGUAGGGAUUCUUGUGAUCCCAUAGGUGUCGUUUCCCACUGACAUCUUUGGCGCGCCAGGUAGGGGCGGCGCAAUUGUGAGAAUCUGGUCUAGUAGUUAGCCUAGCGUUUCUUCAUCGCCGUGGCUCCCAAGAAGAAGACGGCCACGGCGAUCGGCUCGUCGGGGGCCGAACGGCCCGUGCCAGUACGGGCGAGCAGCGGCCCGGUCGCGGACAGAACCCGAGCCGCGGUCCGCGAGCACUAGCAUCGCCCUGGCAGUCAGAGCCUGGCGAGCGGUGCCGUUCGCGCGCCAGGCGACCGGCCGCACAUCACCAAGUCUAAAGAUGGGGCUGGGCCCCCCGCGGCCCGCGCGGGCCCCUUCAGGAGUGUUGUUGUGCCACCCGCGGGCGGCGCAGCAACCUCCAAGACGCCCACGCCGGCGACCACUGCGCGCUCUUCCCAUGGUGUGCACGACGAGCAGCGCCACCACGUCGGUGACCCUGGGCACCGCCGUGGGAAGAGCCCUGUGCGCCGUUCGCGGGAUGAAGGAGUUCAGCAUGCCCGCCGAAGUGCUGGCGAAAAUGGCGCGCAGCCGCUGGGUCGUGAUGGAGCUCCUUCUAACGUGGUUAGAAAUCGAAGCGCGCCACGGUCCACGCAGCUAUUUCCGCCACCCAUGCCAGCAGAAGCUUUGGCGCGCGCGCAGCUGCUCCUCGACUUCCCUCCUGCUGCGGAGAAGCUCGACGAUUGGAGGGACACCAUCCGGAGCCUCGUCGCCGUCGCCAACAAAGACGAUCCGCAACCGGCGGGACCCUCGGGCCGGCGCUCCACUGAGCCACCACAUGCCAGCGCUGGGAGGACCGGGGGUGCUGCGGUCACGGUGCACUCUCGUCCUCCUCGCCAGCCGCCGCGGACGUCGGCCCGUCGUGACGACGCUUGUGAUAACAUCUCUAUAGCGUCAUCCGACCCGCGGACCCACUGCGACCAGCGCCAAGUUCUUCGAGAACGAGCUCACGAAGAUGCUCGAACCACUAUUGAGCACCGGCAUGAUACACACCACCAGUCUGACAAGCGGGCGGGACACGCUAUGGACCACCCAGCACCGGGGGGCUCCGGCGGCCUACCUUACCAGGUGGGCUGCCCGGCCUUUACCCGCGAGCUGCCGCAGUUCCAGUGGCCGUCCCACCGCACGUUCAAGCCCGACGUCGGCGAGAAGUACACUGGCAAGACCCAUCCGUCCGAGUUCCUUAGCAUCUGCACCAUCGCGAUGCAGGCUGCCGGAGCUCGCGAAGACAAGGUGCUUGCCAAUAUUUCCCGCUGGCACUGAAGCCCAAUGUUAUGUCUUGGUUGAUGCGCUUGCCGGUGGAUUCCAUUUCUUCUUGGUCGGAUCUGUGCCAUGAGUUCGUUGGCGCCUUCACAGGAGCCCACCAAGCUCAUGGCCAGGCCAGUGAUCUGCAUAUCAUUCCCCAGAAGGAAGGGGAAACCCUGCGCAAGUACAUCCAGAGGUUCAGCCGGGUGCAGUACAACAUCCCCGACGUUCAUUCCGCCGCUGUGAUGAGCGCGUUCCAUCAGAACGUGCGCAACCGCAAGAUGCGCGAAGAGCUGGCGAUGACCAAGGUUAAGGAUGUGGCCGAACUCUACGUUCUGGCCGAUAGAUGCGCCCGGGCUGAAGAGGGAAGGAAGUACCCCGACGAAGACGCCGGCGCGGAAACCGACUCUACCGACGAAGAUGCCACUACCCCGACGAAGAAGGGCCGGCGUCGCAACAGGAAACGCAAGGGCAAGGCCGUACUUGCUGUUGAAGGAUCUGACGACACCGGCGCUGCCAAGAAGGUCAAGGCAGACGGACCCGGCAAGGAGAUUGCCGGGUGCGCCGCCUGCCGGGCCUUAGCAGCUGCCGACAAGCCAGGGGGCUCCGGCAAGCAGUACUGCAAGAUCCACCACACCAAGGGCCACGACCUCCAAAACUGCCGGCAAGUCGAGCUGCUUGCUGAAAAGCAAAAGGCCGAGUAUGAAAGGCGGGACAAGGAGAAAGGUCAGGAUGGUGCCGAGGGAUCCGGCAAGAAGCAUGGCGGCCAAGGGAGCCGCCCCGGCAAGGACAACCAGCAAGAGAGGCCCGCCCGGGGCCGUGACAAGAAACAAGAAGACGAUGAUCACGACGAGGACGACAAGUUCGGUGAGCAAGAGUUCCAGAAGGCUACGGAGGCCAUGUGCGUCGAUGGUGGCGCCUUGCUGCAUACUUCUCACCGCCAGCUCAAGCAGUGGGCGCGUGAGAUUACAGCAGCGGAGCCGUCGUUCGACGCUCAGAAGCCGCUGAAGUGGUCCAGCACGCCCCUCAUCUUUGACGCCGAGGACCACCCUGACCGCACAACCGCGGUCGGGUGUUUGCCAUUGUUGGUCUCACCAACGAUACGCAACCUCAAGGUGAACAAGAUGUUGGUCGACGGCGGGGCCGGCCUGAACUUGAUCUGGCCCGUCGUGAUCAAAAGGCUGCAAAUUCCUGAUGGAGACCUCGAGGAAACGGGCGCGUUUCAAGGGGUCAAUCCGGGGAGGAGCCAGACGAAGGGGAAGGCCACACUGCCCGUGAUGUUUGGAGGAGAGUUGAACUACAGGAUGGAGAGGAUCGUCUUCGACGUGGCCGAGAUCCCCUUGCCCUACGAAAGGAUCCUCGGCCGCCCGGCACUAGCCAAGUUCAUGGCGGCGUCACACUACGCCUACAACAUGUUAAAGAUGCCCGGGCCAUUGACCAUCAUCUCCGUCCCCUCCGACAAGAAGGACGCGCUGAUUUGCGCCGACCAACUCUACCGGGAAGCAGUUGCAGCAGCUGCCGUCAAGGCACUUGCUCCUGCCGCUGAAGGCCUGGGAGGGAAGAAGAAGCCCGGCAAGACCUCUCGCACCCACUCCGGCAAGCGCACCUCCUCGGAGUGCUGCGCUACCGUCGAGGACAUGCCAGAGAGCUCUACCGGCAAGAGCAAGAAAUCCAGAGCCGAGCCACCGCAGACCAAGAAGGUGUCCGUCAGGGAGGAUGGCACGGGAGGGACCUUCACCAUAGGCUCCACCCUCGACAGCAAAUAGGAAGGCGCGCUCGUCACCUACCUGUGGGCGAAUGUCGACGUGUUUGCGUGGCAAGCAUCCAACAUCCCCGGUGUUCCCAGGGAGGUGAUUGAGCACCACCUAGCUAUCUGCCCUCAUGCGCGGCCCGUCAAGCAGAAGGUCAGAAAGCAGGCUCUGGAGAGACAGGGGAGCUUCCUGAGGAGCAGGAAGAAGCGGAAAAAGUAGCCCGUCGGUCUGCCCUGUACCAGUUCGUCGAUGACGUCCUGUACAGGAGGAGGCCGAACGGUGUGAAAUUGAAGUGCAUCCCCCGGGAGGAAGGACUGGAGCUGUUGGCGGAGAUACAUGGAGGCAUAUGUGGCUCCCACAUAGGGUCGAGGGCCCUUGCCGGCAAGGCGUUCCGGCAAGAUUUCUUCUGGCCCACCGCCCUCUAGGAUGCGACGACACUAGUAACCAAGUGUGAAGCGUAUCAGUUCCAUUCAAAGAAGCUUCAUCAACUAGCUCAAGCCCUUCAAACAAUCUGUCUCCUGGCCAUUCUCGGUCUGGGGGAUCGAUAUACUGGUCCCCUUCCCCCGUGCUGUCGGGGGCUUUGAGUACUUGUACGUUGCAAUUGACAAGUUCACAAAGUGGCCGGAAGUGGAAGCAGUGAGAAAGGUGACAGCACAGUCAACCGUCAAGUUCUUCGAGGGACUGGUCUGCCACUUUGGUGUGCCAAGCAGAAUUAUCACCGACAACGGCACGCAGUUCGCGAGCCACACCUUCAUGCAGUACGUACAAGACCUCGGCAGCAAGGUCUGUUUUGCUUCCGUGGCACACCCCCGGAGCAACGGCCAAGCGGAGAGGGCGAAUGCUGAAGUGUUGCGAGGCCUGAGAACGAAGACCUUUGACACGCUGCACAAGAGCGGAAGGCGCUGCAUUAAUGAGUUGCCGGCGGUUCUUUGGUCGAUCAGGACAACGCCAAAUCGAGCCACCGGUCAGACACCCUUUGCCCUAGUAUAUGGGGCAGAGGCAGUUCUCCCCACGGGACUCAUAUACGGGUCACCUCGAGUGCUCGCUUAUGAUGAGCUUGAGCAAGAGCAGUUGCGACAAGAUGACGCAAUGCUCCUUGAGGAAGAUCGUCUUCGGGCGGCUAUGAGAGUAGCACGCUACCAGCAAGCCUUGCGCCGCUACCAUAGCCGCAAGGUUCAUGCCCGAAGCUUUGAGGAAGGCGACCUUGUUCUUCGGCGCGUUUAGUCGGCCAAGAAUACCAACAAGUUGACGCCGAAGUGGGAAGGCCCUUAUCGGGUAAUACGAGUCACCAGGCCCGGCGCAGUCCGCCUGGAGACCGAAGAUGCUGUCCCAGUGAGUAAUUCCUGGAACAUCGAGCAUCUUCGCAAGUUUUACCCAUAAGGCGCGGCUUGCCGGGCCCCCCGGCAAGCCACCUUUUGUACAAGCUUUGCCGACAAGGCAUGUAACCCUUUGUACAAAGCCAGGCGCAGACCCUGAGCAUAAACAAACGAAGCGCUGGCGCCCUAAGUUAUAGCAUGCAUGCUAGGUUGAGUUUCUUCCUCGGAUAGGGUUGAUAGUGCUUAGCGGCGACUAACCCCUAGCCUAGAGGUCGCGUGUGCGUCUUUUCUGUUUUCUUUGGUUCGCAGGGCACUUCUGCUGAGCCACUUGGGAGAAGGAGAACGAACUGACGCUCCGACCCCGGCAAGGCAAGGCUGCCGGGGGAUGAAGAUGUAAGGAUCCAACCACGGCGAGCCAAGGUUGCCGGGGGCUGCGGAUUCAGAUAAGUUUUCCAUCCCCCUGCUGUACAUUUCCGUAUGGAACUGGGACAUGUGAAGCCUCGUUUAUGUCUUAAAACCACCGUAUUCCCUUUUUCCCUGUACCCGAGAGUUACUUCUUGGGUCGGAAUUUGGUAGUAGUUGCGGUGGCGAAGAAAUGAACGAGGAGCCUAACUCUACUUCGCCCCUGCCUCCGCCAAAAGCGCGAGAACGGUCGGUCGAAGAAGAGAAAUGGCAAGACCUGUUGCCGGGCGAUAACGUUUAUUAUGAAAAUAACAAGGAUUCAUCCUUGGCAUGGGCCUCGCUCACGCACGAAGAACCCGGCAAGCACCCUUUUUCAUUAAAAACGUCCCAUACAGGUACAGUUCGUACGGAAAGAAAAACAUGAACAAGGGGGAUUACAAGCUUUAAAUUUAACAAGGUCUGAAGGCUUACAGAUUAAAAAAAGAGGUGAGAUGCCCCUGAUCCCUUUCUUGUCCCUCUCCUCAGGAGGCAGGUCAAGGAGGCGGAAGGGCAAAAGGGGUGCCUAGGCGAACUACGAGCAGCAAAAAGCACCAAGAGAACACCUCGGUGGCCGCCCACGGAUGGGCCGGUGAUGACGGUGCCGGGAAAGGAGCUGGAAGACGAGGCGGCAGGUCGCCGAACAUGCGACGAAGGCGUUCGCGUCCGCGUACUCUGAGUUGACGGCCUUGCUGCCCGUCCUCUUCCUCUUCCGCAGCCCCCCGACGCCAGCCGCCCAAGGAGACGGCCCCGAGAAGUUCAAGGAGCUGGCCCCUCCCCCGGCAAAACUCCACCGGAGGAGUUACCAGGUGCAGAUGCUGCUGCCGCCGCACCCGCCCAGACGCGGGGCGUCCGACGCCUAGUCGGACUUGUCCCCGUCAUCUGCCCCGCUGUCCUCCUCGUCACUUUCGCUCGAGGAAGAGCUUCCAUCGUCGGAAUCUCCGUCAGAGGAGCUCUCCACGCAGCACUUCAGGCGAGUUCCAAGAUCCCCGAAGACCUUGAUGGAGAGCAGGCCGUCCUCCAUUAAUUUGAAGUAGAGGACGAGCCCCGCCGUCAGGCUGUGGAUGUGAGCGAACGUCUUCUAUCCACGGCGGAGGUACAUGACCUGAGGAGCCGGGAAGUCGACGUCGACCCGCGUGCCCCCAUUCCCACAGCCCCUCAUGUGCAAUCUGAGGGUCUGGGGCGGGUCACGCUCCAUCUCCCGAGCAAACGGGGCGGGAAGACGAAGACGGCGACGCGGAGGCCGGCACAGCCUGAUAAAGAAUUCACGAGGCUGGUCUCCAACGUGGCCCUCCAUCGGGAAAGGCAUCAUUGGCAGGGCGAGGCCGGCGCGCCGCCCCGUCCUCCUCUUCCCCGGGCACCACGACCUCUGCCACGACCUCGCCCACGGCCUCGCCCCCUCCCCCUUCCCCUCGCGGCCGGCUCCGCCACCGCGGGCUCAGGAGGAGGAGGGAUGCGCUGUCGAGCGGCGACCUCGCAGCCACCGUCGAGGGACCGGGGUUCCCCUUCUCCAUGGCAGAUGAGAGGAAGAAGCAGAAGCAGGAGGAGAUAGAAGAUAGAAGAGUGCGGAGUGCCAUUCCCCCCUUUCCUUCUCCUUAUAAAGGGGUGGGGUCGGGGCUCGGCCGCCCGCUCAGCCAAUCCAGCCAUCGGGGGCGCAGGGAAUCAGGACCGACCCGCUGCCCCACAGCUCGCCACCUGCAUGAAGGACGCGUGGCGAGCGUGCAGGGUCGAAAGGACGAGGCGACCGUUCCCCGCCCCGUGAUCAGGGGGCGUAGGCGCCUUAAAGACUGCGACCCGAGUCCAUCCAGUAAAUGAGCCACGCCUCCACGCCUCCCUCUUUUUACGGGGAAGGCGUGAGCCGCCUCUUUACCAUGAUGUGACGCAUGCAUGCGGGAACCGCCCCACGCAUGCCUCCCACGUCACGCGCACCCCUCCACGUCGCGCAUUCAACGCGGGUCGUGGGGAAGCGCAGCAGACGGAAAAUUACCGUGGUAAAAACCGCCCCGCCUGCCCGCGCACCGUUUUGGGCCUGGCCCAACUACGUGUCGCGCUUAUGUGUGGCCCAGGCCCGGGGGCUCCUGUCGGUGUACAAAAGAAGGGGCACACCUUUGUACCCCUUUACCUGUGCACGGACAGUCGGAGCCGCGCCCACAGCCUCACCAAGCAGAACAGGGGAGGUGAAACGAGGUUAAACCAAAGCCCAAGACAGCCAGAGCAACGCCAAGGCCGAGACCACAAAAGAGCAGUGAGAUGAAGCAGGUUCCCCCGGCAAGACCCUUGCCAGGGCAGCCUCCGCGGCCCCGGCAAGGCCCUUGUCGGGGCGGCUCGUCCAACACCAGCGGAGCGCACCACCCUUGAGCCCACGGUCUCCAACACCAUCAACCACGUUGGGCCAGGGCUCGGGAGGCACCUCCAUGGUGGCAUGCAAAUCUUUGUGAAGACAAGGAAUAUUCAAGAUCAUAUGAGGAUUAAAAGACAACGAUCCUCGGCAAGAUCCUUGCCGAGGGGAGCCACAAGACCCCCAGCAAGAUCCUUGCCGGGGACAACAGCACGCCACGGCGAGGCCCUUGCCGGGCCACCCGACAAAGCCCUCGCCAAGGGCGCCAGCAGGGCCACCUCCAGGCCCACACCAGCCAAGUCUCCACCGUCGUUCGCAUGCAGCUGCCAGCCCAACCAGCUGGGCAGGCACCUGCGUGGCAACAUGCAGCUCCCAGGCCAACUCAGCAAGCGCCUGCGUGGUGGCAUGCAGAUCUUCGUGAAGACUUUGCCACCGCGCCACCUCAGUUGCCUGCCUGCCUACGUGGCACCGCAUGCAUCGCUGUCCAGGGCGCGUGUCGAAGCAAGGAGGAGCGGCGACGGACUGUACGCCUUUCCACCUCCUGUGCGCCACUGUGGCAGCCCCUUUCGACUAUAAAAGGAGGCCCAUGGCGUACUGGAGAAGGAUUCGUCUCUUUGGAACGACCCAGCCACCGUCGCUAGUUGGAAGGCUCAAGAACACUCAAUACAUCAACCAAAGCAGGACUAGGGUUUUACACAUCCUCGCAGCCCGAACCUGGGUAAACGAUCCUUGUGCUGAUUACUAAUCCUACUCUUCUUGCAACCCUGCGCCCCGGCAACCGUAGUAGAGAUUCUUGUGAUCCCAUAGGUGUCGUUUCCCACCAACACACACACACACACAGAGAGAGAGAAAUAGAGUGACCUAGCUAGAUAGUGUGUGUAUGUGUGAGAGGGGAGACAUAGAAUAGAGCGGCGGAAACGUGUGUGUGUCUUUGAAGAUAAGCAUAUGGAGAUAGAAACAGACCUGAAGAGAGCAAGAGAGGGACCAAGAUGUAUAGUGUGUGCAAGAUAGAUAGAGUGGAGGGCUUGAUUUGGGAGAGAAAAUAGAAAAAUGUGUGUGUGUGUGUGUGUGUGUGUGUAAAAGACAUAUGUACAGUAGUGUGUCCUUGAGAGGGAAAUAAAGAGAGGGUUUUGUGUAUGUAAGAGGCAUGGGAGAGGGAAGGAGAGUGGGCGUGUAUGAGAGAAGUCAAGAGUGUGAGAGUGAGAUAGAUCUGUCGAAAAGAGAGAACGGUUUGUGUGUGUGNNNNNNNNNNNNNNNNNNNNNNNNNNNNNNNNNNNNNNNNNNNNNNNNNNNNNNNNNNNNNNNNNNNNNNNNNNNNNNNNNNNNNNNNNNNNNNNNNNNNNNNNNNNNNNNNNNNNNNNNNNNNNNNNNNNNNNNNNNNNNNNNNNNNNNNNNNNNNNNNNNNNNNNNNNNNNNNNNNNNNNNNNNNNNNNNNNNNNNNNNNNNNNNNNNNNNNNNNNNNNNNNNNNNNNNNNNNNNNNNNNNNNNNNNNNNNNNNNNNNNNNNNNNNNNNNNNNNNNNNNNNNNNNNNNNNNNNNNNNNNNNNNNNNNNNGUGUGGGGAUAAACCUAGAUAAAUAAGGGGAGAGAAAGGGGUGUGUGUGAAUUUGAUACAGUAGAUAGAUAGAUAGAUAGACAGAUAGAGAGAGAGAGAGAACGAGAGAGAGAGAGAGACCAAUGGAGAUAUAGAAGGAGAGAGGGUGGGAUCAAAGGCAUGUGUGUGUGUGUGUGAGAGAGAGAGAGAGAGGCAUGUCUAGCAGGAUAGGUGUGGGUGGGGGAGAUGGAGAGGUACACAAAGAGUGUUAGUGUGCGUGCUAAUUUGGCGAGAGGUCGAGCAUGUUGAUACCCUUUGAGAUCCAGUUUGGAUAUCAGAAGAUUCACAUGCAUUUUUUCCAAGGACUGACCCUAAGCUAUUGAACCCAUGAGGGGAUGUGCACUAUGACAAAGGCUCUCACGAAUUAAAUUUCAGUUUAAGCUGGACCUUUAACAACCUUAUGGGUGUAAACACUAAUAUUAAAAAUAGGCAUGGGUAUGAGGUCGUACUCUCACAACCUUAUAUUUGUGCUCAGAAUGUUAUGAUAUUAAACGGUGCUCUAGAAAACAACCGCUGUUAUGUGCUUGCGAUGCGAGGAUGUGGGGGAUGUGUCCAAAGUAUGUCCUAACUGAUGCUUGACUUGUAUCAAGAGUCAGUUAUCCAACAGAUGACCCUUACCAUCGCGAGAGGUUACAUCGGUUAUUAAGAAUAAAUAUUCACACAAAGCAUUGGGUGUUUAAUGACUACACCUCAUUCGCCCCGAAGGAAUAGCUUUGUGCUACUGUAUUAACCCCUUCUCGCAUUGUUGUUUGGGAUAACGUUCCACGUCAUCCUCCUCUUUACCUUCUCCUGAUCGAUCUAUGGGAUCCAAGAUACCUGCAGGGCCUUAGAACGAGAACAAGAUAAGAGUGAACUCUGCUGCAAUCAGACACACAUAUUCUUGAAAUUUCUCUUGUGAUCAAACAAUCCUUCAAACAAUCUUUGCCACUUUUACAAUGAUUUCUUACUACAUUUCAUCAACCGAUUUCUUUUGCUCUUCGUUGGGUUCGACACUCUUACUCAUCAAAAAGAUUACGAUAGAUCCCCUACACUUGCGAGUUAUCAAUCCAUUUUCUAGAGGUGACAUAUAUGGGUUCUACAGUGAUUUACAAUCUCUCGGUUCUUUUGUUGUGUGGUCCUAUCAUACGGGGUUGAAUUAGUUGACUAGGGGGAGAUGACGCCGACUGCUAUGACCGCUGGUACAACCAGGCGCGCUCGUGUACCAGGUUCCAUCUUCUCUUUUGGAUAGCCUUCGACGCUAGUCUUGCUCUCCCUUGAUCAUCACUUCGUAUGGUUGGUUAUCCUCACAUAAAUUGACAUGAUAUUUACCCCUUAUAAUGAUGAUUUUCUAUUAAUGCUUCAAAUGACCUUCUCCUUUAGUAUCCUUCUAAAAUCAGACAAAAAGAGCGCGUAAGCACAGUAGAAUCCGAAAUUCUUCAGACUACUAUGCAAAACAAAAAGUAAAAAGUGGUGCAAAAUGGACUCAUCAUUGAUGCCUACCAAUCUCCAUAAUAUGGCACUAUCAUAGCUCUUAUAUAUGGCCAUUGUAGCAAUCUGACUUAAACGAAAACUUCUGGAACUCCAAAAAUUCUGAAAAAAUAGGACGACCUGAGCAAUUUGUUUAUUAAUCUUCUGCAAGAAGAAUCAGGGCAAAAGCUCUUUCUCAUAAAAAAAUUAGAAUUAAUUGCGUGAGCACAAAGUUUCUGUCUUUUUCAGCAAGAUCAAACAACUAUCACCCAAUGGUACCUACUAUUUCAUAUUUGGUAGCUCUCCCUUUAUUUUUCUCUUGUUUAUCUUCCUUCGGUGAGAGGGGAUGUCACCCAUAUUCUGAAAAUUGUUAGAUUCUUGCCACGUGGCAAAAUUUAAGCCAUACAAAAUAACUCUAGAAACACACUACAAAAUAUCUUCUCCCUCAAGUUCUCUACAACAUCAUCCAACUCCUAGAUAUUUUCUUACUACACCCAAAUAUCUUGCUCUGGAAUUUUGUCAUUUAGAAGUUCUCCCAAAAUAGCAUUCCAUGGUUAUCCAUGUUAUCCUCGAGCAUCUUUGUCUCAAAUACUAUCAAUGUAAUUAACUAGUAGCGCUUGAUAUUUCUAAGUCGGAUACAUUUGCACAACCCCAAACCGUGUUACUCACCACAGUUUCAUUUCAUUAGUUACAUUCCCAAAGAAAUAUCAUCGGAUACAUUCCUAGAAAAAUGAGUGUACUAGGAGGGGUUUCAAGUUUACACCAUCCAAUUAAAACAGGCCCACCCCUGGGUGGGGGGGGGGGGGGAGAGGGGUGCUGCCUAGACCAAUGAAACAUACGGGCUCAAGGUAUGCUCUGCUAAACGAAGGUUGCCAUACUGGACAGCUCACAUCUGGGUGUAUGUUGAAAACAAAGGUGGUACAUGGCCCAUCCCAAGAAGACUUGCUAAAUCAAUGUGCCAUAAAAAAUCGACGCGUUAAAUAUUGCAUGCUGACGCCGUCGUCGGAUCCGUUUCACUCAGAAAAAUAUAUUUUUCAUUUACUAGAUUUCUUCCAAGUAUGAUUUCUUUUUCUUUUCAUUCUAGAUUGUGUUGUAUUUUUUUCAGACUUUGAGUGUAUGACCUCCUGCUGCCCCUAAAAGAAUAUCACAUACAAACACUUUUAUAAAUAUGAUCAUACGAAAAAGGGACAAAUAUCUUGCAUAUGCUGGUAAAAUAAUAUAGCAUUAGUUUGUUGCGUGUAUUUCUAUACCAAAUCUUUUAAGUGUCAAAGUACAAAAAUGUUAUUAGAUAGAAUUACCAGGCGUGUGGAUCAGGUGUACGUACUUGAUUGGAGGCAAGGACAUAUUGUGUACAUCAAGAAUGUAGUGACUAAACGUGUGACAUGGUCCAUAACGAGCUUAUUAGGCAUGUAAACAUGCAUAGCCAAAUCAUACAUAUGUUCAAAUAAUAUGAUUUUGAUCUGUAGCAAACCAGGAGAAUUAAGCUAGUACCAAAACAAGAUCUGACUAUAAGAUGCAUCAAGUUCAACAUAGGUCUGUUCACUGAUUCUGCAACACUUUACAUUUUUUACGGAGUGAAUAGGUCAUAUAAUAUGGAACUUCACGGUGGAUGGGACCUUGGGAACCAAGUGUGCGUAAGCCAUCUCUCUUGCAUAACGACAUCUCAUGUCAUCUUGCAACUUAUCUUCGUUGGACCUGGCCAACCAUGGCUCCAUGGCGCGUGUAUCGAUUUCGAAUACAUCCAACGCGGGUGUGCUCCUUAGGAGAAAGUACACGAGUUCCAUCAGUUCGAAUUCCCCACUAAACCCACCAAUUAUAAUAGUGUAGAGCCUUGCAAGUAUUAAAUCCUCGGGCCAUGUGAUGUUCAACUGAGUAUGUUGAUGAAGCUUGCAACAACCCUGCAAGGGUAGUUGAUAUGUAGGAAAGUAAGUAAAUAAGUGUAGCAUAGCAACAUGUAGAAAUAAAAAUUGUAAAACUUACAUGUAGGCCAAAAUAUUCUAUUAGAGGAGCUGAUUUGAGAACAUAAGCCACCGAGGAAAUGCCUUCUUUCCAAGGUUUCAUUAGAACUAACAUCACUGUUGUCAAACCAGCAAACCUUGAAGCAUGCUGCAACACACGAUAUACCUGGAGAGGGACAAAAAGGAGACGAAUUAAGCCUGUAUGAACUUUCUAAAGAUGAUCAAACAAAGAAAGGACCAAAUAUAUUACAUACCUGUAAGCAUGUAGGAAACUGGAUUACCAAAAAUUCUAGCUUGGGAAGCUGAGGAAAUGCACUUAUGAAGUCUAAAGGGCAGUCAUCCUUGUUCACAAAAUAAACAUGGAGCAUUUCAAGAAAUUGUGCACGUUCGCAUUCAAUAUUGAUCUUGUAGCCCAUGUAUGCGAAUGACUCAAGGUUGUCAGCACGAAUACAGAUACUAACCAAGCUUUUGCAGAAUUGAACAACCAAGAUUUGCAACCGUGCAUGAGAAGCCGUCAAAUGAACCAAUAGAUGGCAAUAUUGUAGGACCAUAAUUUCAAGAGCACAACAGUUGGACAUAAUACUUGAAACGGUUUCAUCAACAAUUGACACACGGGCGAGUAGAAGGGAUUUAAGAUAUGAGAACCCACUCAUAUUUGCAGGCAUUGUUCCUAUACUGCAAUUGAAAAGAGUCAAUUCGUCCAACGAGUGGGCUCUACCAUUAAAAAAAAGCCCCAAGAGAAAGUCAUAUGGCUCUGAAGCAGCGUUCAUGCCUUUCACACAAAUUGUGCAACCUUCCUUGCAACACUUGUUAUCCAGGUCAAAGAAGAGCUUUUCUGUAGAGGCUACAAUUGCAGACUCAAUCCAGUGAUCCAGAUUAGAAGCAUGGGCUGAGGUUAAUGGGAAUCUGAUAAUUAAUUCCUUGAUUUUGUUACCAUAACGACUGUGCAAAAGCCCAUUUACUUUGUGAACAAACUUUGUAGCCACAUCAUUCCACAAAAGAGGAUUUUCAUGGUAACGUGACUUCUCUAACUCUUGCAUCCCAAAAGUAUAGGAAUCAAGGAUGAGAUGGUCGACUUUUUUCCAGACAUGCCUCCAUCUGGUGGAAAGAAAACCAGUCAUUGCUGCCUCACUUAUUGUCAUUAGGG
rnacentral:lncRNA from 1 species